rnacentral:lncRNA from 1 species
CCAGGCACCAGGCUCUAUGGGAGGUCCUGAGUGGGUGAGAGGACACAAAUGUGGAUGACAGGUUGGAAAUAUUUUUGCAAUACCACUGAAUCCUCCAGUUUUUACCCCUUACGAUGGGAAGUGAAUACAGUAUGAAAAGGGAGUGGGACAUAUGAGAGGAACGACAGGCUCAAAAUAUGAAGACUUAAUCCAGACACCUCUGUGUCUCUGAACUUGCGUUGUUUCUUCUUUGGAGGUGAAGUACACAUCGUUUUACUCCGGGCAGAGGACUUGUGCUCCUUUUGAGAACUUUCAGCUCUGUAGUGUCGAGUCUUCUGGUUUCCAGAUCCACAUCCUGCCCUGGGGGAAUUGACAUCCAUCAGUGAUGUCAGCCUCUCUCCCUGCACUCAUUCCACCAUUUUGGCCCCAGCAAAGACUCCAGAGCAAACAACACCUCGGAAAGGAGAAGGAGGAAAUGAAGUUGGGGAAAUUGGUGUCCUAC